GCGCUCGUGGGGCCCUGCCCGCUGGCACCUGCGGCUCUCCUUCCUCUCCACACUUUGUGGCCGUCUGCAAUGGAAAAACCCCUGGGUUUAAAAUGCCAAGGGAAAUCGUUUCCUCUUUACUUCCAGAGCACAGAAGAUUCUGAGUUGGAAAGACCCCCGAGGAUGAUCAGGUCAAAUGAUGCCACGUGACUGGCCUACCUAGGGACUGAACUCAGAAUAUUCAUAUUCUCAACUCCUGAGCGAACGUUGGGAUCAUGAGAAACAGCUGGGAAUGGCUGCUGCUGCUUUUCUGCUAAUGCUGUUUCACACACCAGCCCCUUGAACAGCCCUAAGGCAGGAAUGGCUGGCACCCGACAAGACAGCGUAAAACUCCUCCAAUAACCUUGAAUUCCUGUCCUCUCCAGCAUUUCCCCAAUGGCUCGGAAGAUGCCAGGGACAAAUGAGCAAAACAAGUCCUGAGCUUUCACUUGGUCCGUGGCAAUCCCAACUGAGAAAUACAUGAUUGUCGUCAAAAACUUAAGAUCUGUUAGAAGUUCAAUGACAACACUGGGAUGGGAUUCCCAGAAACCUUCUUAAUAUUCUUGGCUCCAUUUUUAUAAUUUUUAGUCUCUCCACUGGCAGCUUGUAGAAUUUAUCCUGGGAUUUGGAGGUGAAGCAAGGUUGGCUUUGGAUUGACUUUCACCUCUGGCCCUAAUUUCCCUCAAAAACAUCCCCUACAUAUUCCAUGUAGAUUAACUCUUUACCCCAAAAUUGCCCUACCUGUCCACUACCAGUGAUUUUAUUUUCUCCUCAAAAUGUUCAUUCUCCAUCUUGGAGAAAACAUCCAUUUCUACACCCAAAAUUUUUGCUCCAUGUCCACAACUGAUGACCUCAGUUUACCUCAGGAUAUUAAUUCCUGAACCUCCGGGGAUUAUUUCACUUUUCCUCCCCAAAUUUACCCUGUCUUUCCACUUCUGAUUUCCUCAUUUUUACAAGAAAAUAUUAAUCAUCUAUUCUAGGGACUAUCUUCAGUUUUACAACCCAAGUUUUCCUUACCUUAUUUUUUACCCAAAAAUACUCAUUCUUAGAUUUUUUCUAAAGUUUUAUCCCCCAAAAUUCCCCUACUUUUCCACCAAUUCCCUCAUUUGUACUUCAAAAUAUUUAUUUAAUACCAUGGAGCUUUUCUCAAGAUGUACUCUCACAAUUUUCCCUACUUGUCCAUACUCAUUGCCUCAUUUUUCCCAUUUUUCAUUUUCUUCUGCAGAGAAGGAUGGAGACUGCCCUCAGAGGGAAACAACCUGGUGGGACCCAGCCCUGGCAGCCCGUUUCCUCUUGUUGCUGCUGUCUGGAAAGCCACAGGUAAUUCCAGCCCCUCAUGGCAUCUGUUUGGCCGCCUGACCCCUAUUCCAACCCACACCCCACCAUCUCAGCACAAUUUUCUGCAGCACUAGGGUCAGGGAGAGAGAAGGAAAUGACUUUUUUUGAUCUUGAAAUGCAUGCAGGCAGACGUGGGAGGUGGUCUUGCCCCUCCCGAAGCACUGCAGGCACAUGGAGCAGCUCAGCACCGCCCAGUUCUGAGAAAUAACAGUGUCUGAGGGGUCUAAGUGCUCAUGGCAGCUCGCUUGUCUCUUGGUGGCAAAGAUUCAGUGCUACAGUCCCAGACUGAUGAGGGAAGAAAGGAACUUCCAUUAUUACCAGCAAAGCUUCUUUUACUCCUUCUGCAGGCUUUCAGUUCAGUGGCCUGGGCGACUGUCUGGUGUCUUUCUAACAAGACUUGUCAGAGAUUUCGAUUUAGGGAUUGAAUUUGGGUCAGUUCACUACGAAACCUUGCCAAGCCUGAAGGCCUGAGGUGAUGACUGCCCUCAGCAAAGCACGUUGCCAAUCUUGAGGGAUCUGCUCUGGUUUCAGCCUGUCCAUGCCCUGGUCACUGCAGUCCCCAGUGCCUGAGACAGAGACACCCCUGACCAGAGUGGUCAGUGUCACUUAAAUGGAAAUGAAAUGCGCCGAACUUGCUGUGGACAGGAACUCUGUGCUUGCUUUAGUUUUAAAAUUGUGAGUAAAUUCUUGAUGCAUAAUCACUUAAUUCUGCCUCUAAAGGGAGAGAUUUUCCUCACCCCUAUUUACAGAUUGUUAUAUACAAAUGCACGUAACUUUAUAAAGGAAAAUCGGAAGUAAAAACCAACACCCUCUGCUACAUUAGAUUAUUGUUUUCUUGUGGCCAUUUAUUUUGUGUAAACUUGCCUUUCCCAGCGUGCUUCUGGGUUUCAGCUAUUUGGGAAUAAUUUCAGCUGACUCUUUGCAGUGAAAAUAUGAAGGUGGGGAUGAGUGACCAGUACUCUGGGAAGGGCUGUGGGUGUGCCCGGGUCAGGAGCAAAUGGUCAGGGUUUAUCUUCUCCUGGUUUGAGGCUGGGUCUGGCAACACCACAACAUUCCAAAGCAGACUAACUAUUUCCUCCACUGUCACUUGUCCAGGCUCUCUGCAUGCUGCCAUGUCAGUGGAUACAUCUCAAUGCCACAGGGGCUUUCCUCCAAGUAGUGGUAAACCAAUUUCAAUUUUACAGACCUCUAUUGCUGCUGGAUUAGCUAAAGGACAUGACCUCCCUGUGAAAUCAGUUUUUAAACAAAAGGUAAACUUUGAACCUUGGACUACAGCUAAAAGAUAAGAGAUGCACACUAGAUCAAUACUUGGCAAAUAUUAGUCGCAUGCCAUGGGCAGAUACCUGUCUGCUGUACCUCUACAUGUUUUAGUGUGCUGCUGCAGCACAGAUAUUUAAGGGGGUUCUUUACAGAGCACAACCAUUAAAUAACUUCUAGCUGCUUAAAAGUGGGGUAACAUAGUGUAAGUCUAGUAAUUACCUUCCUCUGCAGCCCACCUAGAGUCCAGGGAACUGAGGGCCCCCUGUUUGCACACACGCAACAUUUUCCCUACCACACCAGUAAUUUCCUUUGCCCUAGUGCAUUACUUCUGUGAACAGCAGCUUAUAAGAAAAUUGUCAAGUUUGAAACAGUUCCUCUUCCAAGGCAAGCAAGCAGGUGGUUCACCGUCUCCAAUUAUGUAAUAAUAAUGCAGCCACUGGGAGCAGUGCACAGCCGGGCCUGGCUCUGGCAACACUGACAGAACAUUCCUUCACAGUCUGCUAAACAUCACCUUUCAGAGCUUUCACCCAGCACCACGAGAGAAGAAAGGCACCAAGAAAGUGCCACAUCAACUCCUGAGCUCCUUUCAGCUCAGCAGUAGGGAGUCUGCUCCUUUCAGCAGGGCAAGGACUGCUGGGGAUACAGCCUGGGAGAGGCACGAGGCAAGGCCAGGCCUUCCUGCACCUCCUGUGUGCACACAGGGGCCACCCCAGAGAAGCCAGGACAGUUCUCAGUUUACUAGCAUAGCUGUGGAAACUUCUCUGUCAGUAAAGCAUAGUUCAGACGUAGCACAGCACCAAAAUCAUUAUUUAGCUGGUACUGGAAAUAACUGAGUGCCUUUAGAAAGUACUGGGGGAAAAAAAUUACUUAAUCCAGCACCGUUACUUCACUAGGUGCUGGAUCAGCAAACACACAUAAGCAAUAUAUAGCAACCCUCACUCAGCUUCUUCCUGUUCUUAUGCUCAAACUAUGCUAUGUAAAGCUGACUUUAAAAAAAAACCCAACACGAAACCCUCAAGACUUACUGUAAAUGAAAGCACAACUUCAAACAGCACUUAAAAAGCAGCAUUCAUUCAAACUGCCAUACUAAUGCCAGCUUUCAGGAGUUAAAUAAAAAUACAGGUACAAAUUAAAUAGAAACCUUUAAGUUAAAAUUUCAGCCGAGUUGGAAUAUUUUGUCAAAUGACGCAUUUCGGGAAAACUUAAUUUGAUGAAAAAUUCCCAGUUUGGGGUAAAGGUGAGUCAGCCAGUUCUCACAAACCUGUGGCUGCCACUGCCUGACUUCAAGAGAACUCCAUCCCAUGCUCCCAACAGAUACAUUAAUCUUUAUGCUUUUCAGCAAAAUGCUGUAAUUCACGUGGUAAGUGCUGCACUACUACAUACUGGGUGAAAUCCGGCCCUGCAGA